rnacentral:rRNA from 1 species
CUACGGAGGGUCCAAGCGUUAUCCGGAAUCAUUGGGUUUAAAGGGUCCGCAGGCGGUCAAUUAAGUCAGAGGUGAAAGCCCAUCGCUCAACGAUGGAACUGCCUUUGAUACUGGUUGACUUGAGUUAUACGGAAGUAGAUAGAAUAAGUAGUGUAGCGGUGAAAUGCAUAGAUAUUACUUAGAAUACCGAUUGCGAAGGCAGUCUACUACGUAUAUACUGACGCUGAGGGACGAAAGCGUGGGGAGCAAACAGGAGUAGAAACCCUAGUAGUCC